rnacentral:hammerhead_ribozyme from 1 species
AUCCAGCUGAUGAGUCUCAAAUAGGACGAAACGCACCUGUCCUCCAU